UACAGAGGUCCUAAGCGUUGUUCGGAUUCACUGGGCGUAAAGGGUGCGUAGGUGGCAGGGUAAGUUUGAUGUGAAAUCUCCGGGCUUAACCCGGAAACUGCAUUGAAUACUAUCCUGCUCGAGGUUUGGAGGGGGGACUGGAAUUCUCGGUGUAGCAGUGAAAUGCGUAGAUAUCGAGAGGAACACCAGUGGCGAAGGCGAGUCCCUGGACAACACCUGACACUGAGGCACGAAAGCUAGGGGAGCAAACGGG
rnacentral:rRNA from 1 species